rnacentral:rRNA from 1 species
GUGAACGCUGGCGGUAGGCCUAACACAUGCAAGUCGAACGGCAGCACAGUAAGAGCUUGCUCUUACGGGUGGCGAGUGGCGGACGGGUGAGGAAUACAUCGGAAUCUACUUUUUCGUGGGGGAUAACGUAGGGAAACUUACGCUAAUACCGCAUACGACCUACCGGUGAAAGCAGGGGAUCUUCGGACCUUGCGCGAUUGAAUGAGCCGAUGUCGGAUUAGCUAGUUGGCGGGGUAAAGGCCCACCAAGGCGACGAUCCGUAGCUGGUCUGAGAGGAUGAUCAGCCAACCUGGAACUGAGGCACGGUCCCGACUCCUACGGGGGGCAGCAGUGGGGAAUAGUGGACGAUGGGGGGAAGGCUGAUCCAGGCAUACCGGGUGGGUGAAGAAGGCCUUCGGGUUGUAAAGCCCUUUUGUUGGGAAAGAAAAGCAGCAGGUUAAUACCCCGCUGCUCUGACGGUACCCAAAGAAUAAGCACCGGCUAACUUCGUG